UGCCCAGCAACUCCUAUCCCUACCUCCACGCUGUACCGGCCGGAAACUAUGAGCAACCUUAGGGAAGAUCGGGUAACCAACCCCGGUGGGAACUUUGGUCGUAGGCUGACAUGGAAGG
rnacentral:ribozyme from 1 species